GCCCUGUGUAACCCUAAGAACAAAUUCAUCAAUGGUGUGCUACGGCGUAGCCACAGGCAGCCCACUUCCAACGUGAUUCCUGCUGGCGGGGCCUGAUAGUUAUUGGAUCGCCUGUGCGAUGGCUCCAUACAUG